rnacentral:rRNA from 1 species
GACGAACGCUGGCGGCGUGCUUAACACAUGCCAGUCGAACGGAAAGGCCCUGCUUGCAGGGUACUCUAGUGGCGAACGGGUGAGUAACACGCGGGUGAUCUGCCCUGUACUUCGGGAUAAGCCUGGGAAACUGGGUCUAUUACCGGAUAGGAGCCAUUCUUAGUGUGAUGGUUGGAAAGUCUUUUGGGUGUAGGAUGAGUUCGCGGACUAUCAGCUUGUUGGUGGGGUAAUGGCCUACCAAGCCAGCGACGGGUAGCCGGCCUGGGAGGGUGGACGGCCACAAUGGGACAGAGAGACGGCCCAAAAUCCUAAGGGAGGAAGGUGUGAGGAAUGUUGCAAAAUUGGGAGGAGGCUGAUGCAGCGAACCCGCAGAGGGGAUGACGGGCUUGGGGUUGGAAACACGUUUCGCCAGGGACGGAACUUUUAGUGACGGUACCUAGAUAAGAAGCACCGGCUAACUACGUG